CUUUUGCCUCCAGAGAGCUCCACACCUUACCUGCUCCGUCCCAUUCCACCUGAGCCUCUUCCUCCUCUGCUGGGCACCUGGGCCUGGGAACGCACCUAAAGCCAGAGAGCUCCACACCUUACCUGCUCCGUCCCAUUCCACCUGAGCCUCUUCCUCCUCUGCUGGGCACCUGGGCCUGGGAACGCACCUAAAGCCAGGUAAGAGCGAACAAUGC
ensembl:lncRNA